AGAAUUCCAGGUGUAGCGGUGAAAUGCGUAGAGAUCUGGAGGAAUACCGGUGGCGAAGGCGGCCCCCUGGACAAAGACUGACGCUCAGGUGCGAAAGCGUGGGGAGCAAACAGGAUUAGAUACCCUGGUAGUCCACGCCGUAAACGAUGUCGAUUUGGAGGUUGUGCCCUUGAGGCGUGGCUUCCGGAGCUAACGCGUUAAAUCGACCGCCUGGGGAGUACGGCCGCAAGGUUAAAACUCAAAUGAAUUGACGGGGGCCCGCACAAGCGGUGGAGCAUGUGGUUUAAUUCGAUGCAACGCGAAGAACCUUACCUGGUCUUGACAUCCACAGAACUU
rnacentral:rRNA from 1 species